rnacentral:tRNA from 1 species
UGGGGGAUCGUCUAAGUGGCAGGACACGGGAUUUUGGAUCCCGGUGUGGAGGUUCGAGUCCUCCUCCCCCAGCCA